rnacentral:rRNA from 1 species
AUUGAACGCUGGCGGCAGGCCUAACACAUGCAAGUCGAGCGAGCGGCGGACGGGUGAGUAAUGUCUGGGGAACUGCCCGAUGGAGGGGGAUAACUACUGGAAACGGUGGCUAAUACCGCAUACCAUCAGAUGAUCCCAUAUGGGAUUAGCUAGUAGGUGGGGUAAAGGCUCACCUAGGCGACGAUCCCUAGCUGGUCUGAGAGGAUGAACAGCCACACUGGAACUGAGACACGGUCCAGACUCCUACGGGAGGCAGCAGUGGGGAAUAUUGCACAAUGGGCGCAAGCCUGAUGCAGCCAUGCCGCGUGUGUGAAGAAGGCCUUAGGGUUGUAAAGCACUUUCAGCGGGGAGGCGUUACCCGCAGAAGAAGCACCGGCUAACUCCGUGCCAGCAGCCGCGGUAAUAC